AACGAACGCUGGCGGCAUGCCUAACACAUGCAAGUCGAACGAGACCUUCGGGUCUAGUGGCGCACGGAUGCGUAACGCGUGGGAACCUGCCCUUAGGUUCGGAAUAACUCCCCGAAAGGGGUGCUAAUACCGGAUAAUGUCUUCGGACCAAAGAUUUAUCGCCUUUGGAUGGGCCCGCGUUGGAUUAGCUAGUUGGUAGGGUAAAAGCCUACCAAGGCGACGAUCCAUAGCUGGUCUGAGAGGAUGAUCAGCCACACUGGGACUGAGACACGGCCCAGACUCCUACGGGAGGCAGCAGUGGGGAAUAUUGGACAAUGGGCGAAAGCCUGAUCCAGCAAUGCCGCGUGAGUGAUGAAGGCCGUAGGGUUGUAAAGCUCUUUUACCCGGGAUGAUAAUGACAGUACCGGGAGAAUAAGCUCCGGCUAACUCCGUG
rnacentral:rRNA from 1 species